rnacentral:rRNA from 1 species
AACGAACGCUGGCGGCAUGCCUAACACAUGCAAGUCGAACGAGACCUUCGGGUCUAGUGGCGCACGGGUGCGUAACGCGUGGGAACCUGCCCUUAGGUUCGGAAUAACUCCCCGAAAGGGGUGCUAAUACCGGAUAAUGUCUUCGGACCAAAGAUUUAUCGCCUUUGGAUGGGCCCGCGUUGGAUUAGCUAGUUGGUAGGGUAAAAGCCUACCAAGGCGACGAUCCAUAGCUGGUCUGAGAGGAUGAUCAGCCACACUGGGACUGAGACACGGCCCAGACUCCUACGGGAGGCAGCAGUGGGGAAUAUUGGACAAUGGGCGAAAGCCUGGUCCAGCAAUGCCGCGUGAGUGAUGAAGGCCUUAGGUUUGUAAAGCUCUUUUACCCGGGAUGAUAAUGACAGAACCGGGAGAAUAAGCUCCGGCUAACUCCGG